rnacentral:rRNA from 1 species
GACAGAGGGUGCAACCGUUGUUCGGAAUUACUGGGCGUAAAGCGUGUGUAGGCGGCCAUGUAAGUCGGAUGUGAAAGCCCCGGGCUUAACCCGGGAAGUGCAUUCGAUACUGCGUGGCUUGAGUAUCGGAGAGGUUGGUGGAAUUCUCGGUGUAGAGGUGAAAUUCGUAGAUAUCGAGAGGAACACCGGUGGCGAAGGCGGCCAACUGGACGAAUACUGACGCUGAGACACGAAAGCGUGGGGAGCAAACAGG